rnacentral:rRNA from 1 species
GGCUGCAUGGCUGUCGUCAGCUCGUGCUGUGAAGUGUUGGGUUAAGUCCCGCAACGAGCGCAACCCCUAUCAUCUGUUGCCAGCAUUUAAGGUGGGGACGUCAGAUGAGACUGCCGGUGACAAACCGGAGGAAGGUGGGGACGGACGUCAAGUCAUCAUGGCCCUUAUGUCCUGGGCUACACACGUGCUACAAUGGCCGGUACAGAGUGAAGCGAAACCGCGAGGUGAAGCAAAACGCAGAAAGCCGGUCUCAGUACGGAUUGGAGUCUGAAGCUCGACUUCAUGAAGUUGGAAUCGCUAGUAAUCGCGCAUCAGCAUGGCGCGGUGAAUACGUUCCCGGGCCUU